AAUUGACUAAAUUUACAUAGUUCAUGAUGGACUAAAUUUGCAGGUAAAAUAUCGAAAACCCUAAUCAGUUUGUUUGUCCAGUUUGAGUGAUCGAUCAUGUUAGGUAAACCAUCAUGUUCACUGAAUUUGUAAUGGAGUUAACUACUCCAUUAGAUGUUUGUGGUUGCUAGAGAAGUGUUAUUGCCAAAUUUGCAGGUAAGUUGGCUACGAUUCUAUGUUCGAUUCAAUCUUCCAAGAACUAUUUUUGAAGACAUAUCAUUUAGAUUCCAUCAGUUUGUUUGAGCAUUUUUUCUUGAUUUUGUAUCUUGAUUUUGUUUUAGCCUUUUUUCUGUAUGAAGGUACUACUUUUCAUGACAGAGAACGAAGAUUUUGAUGUAGCUAUUCGUGAUUAUUUUCCGAAUCAUUAUUAUUUACGGUGAAAUCUUAGGGUUUUACAUGGGGUAAGCUUUUUAUACUUCUAAAAUAGAGUUUUCAACAGUUUUUGACAUACCCAAUUAAUCAAAGUCUUAAAAAUCCUACGGUAUUAGCAGGAUUUUGAGAAUCAAUCACUCGAAGAUAAUAAAAAUGUAUCUAUGACGACUACGAUGACAAAUUAAGUUAACUUUAUAGGUAAAUAAACUCUUCUAAUUUAGCUUUCUGUCUCGAACUCACUCACAUAUCUUAAAUUUGCAAUCAUCAUUAGCUAAAAUGAUUUUGUCUUCAAGUAUUGAAGGUUAAAAGAUAAGCCCUGAUAGGUAAAAACGCUUUAUAUCCUGUUCCAUUCUUUUUUAUUUGGAUUUUGAUUUUGCAGCUAAACAAUAAUAAUGAACAACUUCAAUGGUUUUAUAUCACCAGAUUACCCCAAUUUUGAUUAGGAUCCAUUAUAGGUGGAAGCUUAUUAUACGCCAAAUUAUAGCGAGAAGGUAGCCAGUUUGUUUUAGCCAAUUUUGAUUAGUAUCCAGAUUCCAUCAGUUUUUUCAAAGCAAAAAUUGGUUCUCUUCGAAAGUCUAUCCGGCCUACAGUGGUAUUUAUGCGUGUAACUCUCUAAUAGACAAUGCAUCCAGGUAUGCAUCUUUCCACCACCGCAGUGCUCUCUUUAAUGUUUUUCUAUUAGUAAACCUGGCGAAGUUAUUGUCGUGGUCAGUUAUGUUAAUGAAUCACACUCCUUUUCUUUUUUUCAUUUUUCUUUUUUAUUUCUCAUAUUGGUGAUAUAGACUCACUGGAAAAUGUUCAAGACCCAUUUAACUUACCAACUCUAUCACAAUUAAAUAAUAAUCAUUGAACUUAUUGAGGCAAAAUCUUUCUUAGCUCCAACGGGUAUGUAAGGAGUGCAUUCUUCUUUAUUUGAAAGUAAAAAGAUUAGCCAGAUUGUCAUUUAUGUUUUCUUUCCACUUAUCAUUAUGUCUGUUUUCAUGCUUCAAAAAAAAUAAAAAUAUGUGGGUUUUUUAUGUGUAGAUAGCAAAUGAAACUGGUGCAUUAUGCUUAACAAAGAACAAGCUUCAAAAAUAAUCCGAAGAUCUCGCAUGGCAAUUGCAGCCAGGGAAAAGAUUACGGGCAAACCUUCUUAAUAGGAAGUUAAAUGUUUUUUGCAUGCUUUUUAUGCUUUGGAUCAUUCAGUUUUAAAUACUAUCUUACUUCUUGGUUUUAAAGCACUAUCAGCAUGCUUUUUAUGCUUUGGAUCAUUCAGUUUUGUUGCAAGUGCAUCCGUUUCGUAUUCGCUUAAGAAUGCUUUAAGAAAAAUUGACAAGUGCAAGUAAGCUUAUUACUAUUCUACACUUAAAGGAGACUUGAAUGGAUUUCAAUUUGGCUGUCUAAUUCAAAAUUGAUAACUAACUAAUUUGGCACAUUAUUUUGUCCCAUCCUUUGAAAAUAAUUUCAUUAGUUUAUUUCUGAAAACCACGACAAUAUGGGUAUAUGGUUUUAUGCAGAGUAUGGCAUGGAUAUUGGAUGAAAAUUUGGAAAUUGUAUUGUUAUUCAGCCUUUAUUGUUAAUAGAAAAACCAAAUCCCUUCAGAUGUCGAGCGGUUGAAAGUUGGUAAACUUCAAGUGCUAGGUGAUCAGUCUUUUAUGUUAUCCCUCUUCUUUUCGGCUUGGUUUAUAUUAUGUUGAGUCGAUGUUGUUUAUGUAUUUUAGACCUGAAGUGGAGUCCAGCGUGAACGAGGAUGCGAUGGCGUAGGAGGUACUAUUAUUUUCUUAUAGUUUUAUUGUGGUAAUGAUCAUGUUUGGAUUUUCAGUUAUGAGGAUCUCUGGAUUAAAUAAUGAACAGUGGGCUAAUGGAGUAUUAGCUACAAUUAGACAUGCAUUCCCUUUUCAUUACUAAUGUAUUCGUGCAGGGCCAUCUAGGCGCUGAUAUAUACUUGUUUCAGGUAAUAUUGAGGAUCAGUGAAAUGGGUUCAUUAUAUGAGGAAAACUUAAACCAGGCUUUGGUGGCUAUUGUUUGUCCUUGAACAGCUUCGGGCCGGGUUUUUUUUCCGGGUCAGCUGCUUUUAUUGCUUAGUCCAUUUUCUGUGUUUUUUGGGUGUGCUGGCAUUCAAGAUCUUUGUAGUUCUGAGCUAUUGGAUUGGCGUAUUGAGUUUGCUUCUUCCGUGUAUAUUACGCGGUUUAUGGGUUCUACUGGUGGUUGACUAGACCGAUCAGGAUGGUUGUGAUGUAAGAUAGGUCUCUUAUGUCCGAUUUUUUUUGUGUGUGUUUCAGUAACAUAGCAUUGGUACCAACUGAACCAAUUUGUAAUGUACAGUAUUACUUAAAUAAGUGAAUUUGAUUUGAAAA